GACAGAAUGGCCGAGUGGUCUAAGGCGCUGUGUUCAGGUCGCAGUCCGAAAGGGCGUGGGUUCGAACCCCACUUCUGUCA